rnacentral:rRNA from 1 species
UACGAAGGGGGCUAGCGUUGUUCGGAAUUACUGGGCGUAAAGGGCUCGUAGGCGGCCAACUAAGUCAGACGUGAAAUCCCUCGGCUUAACCGGGGAACGGCCUCUGAUACUGGCUGGCUGGAGUUCGGGAGAGGGAUGCGGAAUUCCAGGUGUAGCGGUGAAAUGCGUAGAUAUCUGGAGGAACACCGGUGGCGAAGGCGGCAUCCUGGACCGACACUGACGCUGAGGAGCGAAAGCCAGGGGAGCAAACGGG